UAUGGCAGAUAAGUGCAAAGGUAUUAAAAUCCUUAUAUAAAGAAAAUUCUUUUAUUAAAA
rnacentral:tRNA from 1 species